AUUUGUAAAGUUUUUAAUUACAUCAAUUGUUAAUUUAGUUUUCAGUAAUGAGAUUAUACUACAGAGUAAACUUUUUCCUACGCUAAUUCAUGGUUUGAAGGACUAUAUGAACGUAAAGAAACGUUUAUGGAAAGACAUACAUCAGUUAUCAAUGGAGAGCAGCGCCACUACCGUAAUGAAGAUAUGGACCGGUGAAUUUGGUAUGAGGUAUCUGGUAUUUAUAUUAUUUUAAGACAGGCUAGAACUUCUUAACACUUUCCCAUAACACAGACAUUUAGGGAUGGGAUGUUUGUGGCGGUUAGUAUUAUAACAUAGUUCAUCCCAACCCUCUCGGCAGUGCCAAGUUCUAUCCGGUUGGUUCUGAGUCCAAUGGAUGCUUUCAAGUUAGAGUCAACUGACCUGCAGAUCGCAUUUCCGCGUGCCAACAACUGGACGAACAUGUGCUACUGUUUGAUUGUGGUUUGUGGAUGGCUGUGGUGUAAGACAAUCACUAUAAAUAGGGGUUGAGUUGUUAGGAUCCCCGUAGGAUAUUUGCAGUUGUCAGUCGAGUAUUUCAUUUCUGAUCAGUGCCCUUUGUGGUGGUCUCACAGCUUUUUCAUGAUGGUUGCGGGCUCAGUACAGCACUAAUUUGAUGGGCAGGUGGGGUACUGUUACACUGUGGCCUGGUCUGACUUGUUCUAUGACACUGGCGAUGUAAAUAUUAGAUUAAUGCUGGAUUAAGAUUAGAUUAAGGCUGAAGUAAAAGUGAAGUAUAGCCUCUAGCCUGUGCUAGUUGGCGGGGGAAAGCCUCUAGCCUUUGCUAGUUGGCGGGGGAUAGCCUCUAGCCUUUGCUAGUUGGCGGGGGAUAGCCUCUAGCCUUUGCUAGUUGGCGGGGGACAGCCUCUAGCCUUUGCUAGUUGGCGGGGGACGAGAAAGUAUAGCCUCUAGCCUUUGCUAGUUGGCGGGGGGAUCAUCCACUCCUGGUGGUCAGGUAGUGCAUUAGUUUAGUUUAGUGAUAAGUCAUUAGAAUUAAGAAAUUAGAAAUCUAAGUUUAGUUUUAAGAUUGGAGUGAUAUUAGUAAAGUAAAGCCUCUAGCCUUUACUAGUUGGCGGGG